CUCACUGCAACCUCUGCCUCCCAGGUUCAAGCAAUUAUCCUGCCUUAGCCUCCCGAGUAGCUGGGACUAUAGGCACAUGUCCGGCUAAUUUUUGUAUUUUUAGUAGAGACGGAGUUUCACCUUGUUGACCAGGCUGGUCUCGAACACCUGACCUAAAGUGAUCCACUUUCCUCAGCCUCACAAACUGCUGGGAAUACAGACGUGAGCCACUGUGCCCGGCUUGAGUCUUCACAUUUCUUAAAAGAGAAACGAUCCUAGUCCCUGGCUUUUCCGACACGUAACAUUUCCAAGAUGACAUCUGACGAGGUUAGUGAUGAUGCCUCUGUGGUCUAGGACCCAAACCUUGCUGUGAUUCUGCUGUCAUGUAAUUCUGAGCAAGUCUGAUGGGAUUUCGCAUAUACAGAACCUCCACCUUCAGCCCCCAGCUGUAUAUAAGCAGUGGGCUGAAACAUCGUGCCAGAGUCUGCUCCUGGGCUGGAGGCCUCAAUCUAUAGUCCUCUCUAAGACUUCUGAAUAAAACUAGCAUUCAUUCUUUAAAAAGCUUGAUUUUUUUCUCUUUUAUUUGACCCAUGGUAGAGAAUAACUGGGUCUAUGUGUGAAGGGUGAGGAGCAGAAGGGGUCGGUCUCUCAGUAAGAGGCAUUUCACCCAAGAGCUAAGGAGGAAAGGGGAGCCCACCAUAUUCAUGCCUGGGGAAGAGCAUUGCAGGCACAGGGAACGGCAAAGUCGGAGGCUCUGAGAAAGAGAGAACAUGGCACGUCUGCAUAAGCUCGAGAGGAGGAAGAGGAGGAAGCCACGUGGGGCAGAGUGGGAGGAGAACCUCGGGGCUAGCUUUCAGGGCUGUGACAGGGAGUUCAGGUUGUAUUCUAAGUGCAUUAGGUAACAUUGCAAGGUUAAAACCGAGAGUGACACGGUUUAUCUUUUAAAAAGCUUACUCUGAGGCCAGGCACAGUGGCUCACGCCUGUAAUCCCAGUACUUUGGGAGGCCGAGGCGGGCGGAUCACCUGAGGUCAGGAGUUCAAGACCAGCCUGGCCAACAUGGUGAAACCCCAUCCCCUCUAAAACUACAAAAAAAUUAGCCAGGUGUGGUGGCGGGCACCUGUAAUCCCAGACACUUGGGAGGCUGAGGCAGGAGAACAGCUUGAACUGGGAAGGCAGAAGUUGCAGUGAGCCGAGAUCGUGCCACUGCACUCCAGCCUGGGCGACAAAAGUGAAACUCCGUCUCAAAAAAUAAAAUAAAAUAAAAAUUAAAAAAAGUUGACUCUGGCUAUGAACCCUACCAUCUGUUAUCCCGCCCACACCUGUGGAUUCUUGUUCGAUGUGGGGCUCUGGGGGAGCCAAGGUCCCUGCCCCUAAGAGGCACUCAGCUCUCCUCCCUGCCACAAUUUCACCCCCCGAUGAGUCCCCCUC
rnacentral:lncRNA from 1 species